ACUCUUGCCUAAGUUGUCUCUCCACCAAAUCCUGCAGCCUGUCACAGCCCAUUCCUCUGUGGAAUACCCAGGCCCCUACUGCCUCAGAGAAUGGGCAUCUUAGAAGUGCUCUAAACCAUGAGACUGUCUGUAACAAAGGUGGAAAAACUUACCCUACUUUUCAUGCUCCGUGCAGUUGAGGGUGAUGAGCAGCAAAGUCAAUGUCUUAUAGUCCAUUAUCUUGUAGUAUGUAGUGAAAAUGACUUUGAGUAUUUACCCACAGACAGCCAUUUUGCCCCCUAGGACACAAACCCAACAGAGAAUGGCAGGAAUGUUAAGUCAGAGAUUAUCCAAAUGUCACCUGCCACACCUAGUCAGAAUCACUUUUCGCUCAGGGGAUGAGGACAUUGUAUUUGACCACACCGGUUUGCCUGAUUCCGUUCCUUAGCUUGGGUUCUUUCCCAGGAGGCUCCCCAGGUCUUAGUAGACUCCUAGCUGCCUACCCUGCCAGUUGUGCCCACAGAUGACUAAGCCCAAGUAAUAAGCAUAGCUUAGAAACCAGAUGGAAACCUCGCUCCCACUUCAAUGCAAGACUGUGGUUACAGCCAUGUGUAAAAGAAAACCCAAUGCCCAGAUUCUCCAAUACAAGGAACCAGUGUAACUUUAGAAACAUGAUUGAUUCUAAAAUCUGAAGCAGGCAAAAUACAAGAUGAACCCAAAGCAUUUCAUAGUACCAGAAAGUAAGGACAGGCUCAAAAAGCUAAGAGGUGGUGUUGGGGGAAGAGAGAUGAAAAAAGGAAAGAAAACUAAAACAAGAAAACCAAACAAAUACAAUUUUUAAAAAGACUAGAAGGAAAUAUGUCGAAAUUGUAGGAAUGGUCAUCUUAAGGUAGUUAGACUAUAGGCAAUUAAUUCUCUUUUUCUUUUUUUUAUUAUUCUGACAUGGUCCUAUCAGCUUUAAAAUGGAAACCAUUUAUAAAUUAGUGAUAUUUUAAAGUAGAAUCGCUAUUCGUGGUAGCCAUUUGAAAACAGACAGAGGGGAAAGAAGUGAUGAAGGAGGAACUGAAGGUCCAGCUUCUGCACCUGUGGGCUUGGUAGUGCCCAUAACGGAGGGAGAGAACAAAGGGGAAGAAGAGAGACGAGAGGAGACACCUAGGUCAACUAGGCACAUGUUUCAUCGGGAAGGCCUCUGAAGAUCACAUGUGUCCUGCAAGCAAAUGGAAAACUGAGUCUCAAGCACUGGAAAGACAUCAAGGAUAGGGUAGAAAAUUUCCUCAGAGGAAAUGAACAGAGUUGUGAGAGUAGAAGUGUACUGGAAUUAAAUACAACAAUGGAACAUUCAGUAACAGUGGCAAAUUUUAUGUUUAUGUCGUCUUAAAUCCUAUUAGGGAAAAAAAUGGUGAUUCAACCGUUAAUAAUGUAUUUCUUUUCUCUCCCUUGCCACAAAAACCUCUAGUCAGACAGGAGAUAUUUCAGAAAGGAUUACUUUUGUUGAUCAUUAUUCUGAUCUUUUGUGGGAGAAACUCCUUCAUAUUUCAUCAGUAGAAUUUCUGCACAUUCUAUUCUUAUUGGGGGAUAAUAUGUUCUCAAGAGAUUAAGCUGUAUUCUUACUAAAUCAGUUAUAAGUACCUGUACAGAGCUGAGUGUGAUGGCAGUCACCCGUAGUCCCACCUACUUGGGAAGCUGAGGUAGAAGGAGUUCAAGACCAACCAGGCAAAAUAGCAAGACCCUAUCUCUAAAAAAUAAAAAUUAAAAAAAAAA
ensembl:lncRNA